GUGGCAACUGACAUUUAAUGUGGAUAAGUGCAAGAUAAUGCAUCUUGGACGUAAAAACCCAAGGGCAGAGUACAGAAUAUUUGAUAGAGUCCUAACCUCAACAUCUGAGGAAAGGGAUUUAGGGGUGAUUAUUUCUGAUUACUUAAAGGUAGGCAGACAAUGUAAUAGAGCAGCAGGAAAUGCUAGCAGAAUGCUUGGUUGUAUUGGGAGAGGUAUUAGCAGUAGAAAGAGGGAAGUGCUCAUGCCAUUGUACAGAACACUGGUGAGACCUCACUUGGAG